AGUGCAGCAGAAACACACGGGACUGAAAGAAUACACACGGACGAGCGCUCGUCCGUGUGUAUUCUUUCCGUCCCGUGUGUUUCUGCUGCUCU
rnacentral:pre_miRNA from 1 species